CCUGUUAUCAGUAAAAAAAGAAAGUUAAUCCAUAAAAGAUUCCUCCGAUUCAUAUAGCUUGUAUAUGCAAGGAACAUACAUUUUGUAAUGAAUCUUAAAGGACGAUAAUACCACAAUUGCAAAAGGAUCAGUACGUAGCACCAGUAGACUCGUAGUGUACUAAUUAGAAUGUAGAAACGCAAACGAACAUGUAAAAUUUCAGGCUGACAUUGAGCCCAAAUGCUAAUCAUGACUUGCAUACAUGUGAUUUUUAAGAAACUUUUUUUUGGCAUGAUACUUCUAUUUCCUUGCCUUCCCAUCUUUCUUCCUCCCAUACACGAGGAACCCCAGUGCAGUAGUAACAGAGCAAGAGAGUUAUAAAAGAAAAACACUAAGCACGCCUCCUAGUUUAGCAAAAGAAAAGUAAAGAAGCACAUAUUUUGAUAGUGACCUCAUGACCUGUAUCACAAACCUUCGUCAUUUGGAGUUAUUUCACUCCUCAUAUUUCCACCAGUGUCAUUUUCAGUCCCAGUAAUUACAUGUACCAGUACUGGGCCAGUUGAAUCUAGAGUUGAGACCUCCUUUAAUACACAGAUGAGAUCAUCAAUGUUAUGCCCAUCAAUAGGACCAAUAUAAUAUAAU